rnacentral:rRNA from 1 species
GUGGGGAAUAUUCCGCAAUGGACGAAAGUCUGACGGAGCAACGCCGCGUGAGUGAUGAAGGUUUUCGGACUGUAAAGCUCUGUUGUUUAGGACGAAAGUGCCUGUUGCGAAUAGUUACAGGUAUUGACGGUACUGAACGAGGAAGCCACGGCUAACUACGUGCCAGCAGCCGCGGUAAUACGUAGGUGGCAAGCGUUGUCCGGAAUUAUUGGGCGUAAAGAGCAUGUAGGCGGGAAUCUAAGUCUGUUGUGAAAAUGCGGGGCUCAACCCCGUAUUGCGAUGGAAACUGGGUUUCGUGAGUGCAGGAGAGGAAAGGGGAAUUCCCAGUGUAGCGGUGAAAUGCGUAGAUAUUGGGAGGAACACCAGUGGCGAAGGCGCCUUUCUGGACUGUGUCUGACGCUGAGAUGCGAAAGCCAGGGUAGCGAACGGGAUUAGAAACCCCAGUAGUCC